CCGACUUAGGCAUCGCUGCAAGAUC
rnacentral:piRNA from 1 species